GCGGGAGGGCCCGGCCGCCUCCCCCCCGAGGGCGGGCCGCCGGUGACAGCUGGGGAGGGACCCGGCGCCGGCAGCGAGGUGCGGCUGCCGGGCGGUGCUGCGCCGCUUCUCUGCCCGCAUCGCGCCAGCGGAUCCCCCGGGGAAGGAGCGGGCAGGGGCUUGGCCGGGCCCCGCCGCCGUCGCCGGCCGCGGAGUGGGGUGCUGGCUCGGUGAUAUUUACAUAAUAUCUCUGCUUAAAUGUGACCUCGUCCCUAAUUGGAGGCUUCCUUUCCAUUUUCUAUGGCAACACUACAGAACAGAUCACUCCAGUGGGCUGGAUCAGAGGAGUACCUGCACACACUGAGUUUGAAGGACAGUUUGUGCAAAUAUAUCGAUUUUGUGACAACAAAAUAUUUUAGUUAGGGUGGUGAAGCACCAGAAUAGUGUGCCCCCAGAGGUGGUAGAUGCCCCAUCCCUGGAAACAUUCAAGGCCAAGUUGGAGGAGGCUCUGAGCAACCUGUCCUGGUUGAAGAUGGCCCUGCUCAUUGCAAGGGAUGUGGGCUAGAUGACCUUUCAAGGUUCCUUUAACCCAAAGUGUUCUGUGCAAUGCACAGUGUUAGUGCCUCACAUAUAUUCCAUCCUGUGCCUAACAGCAGCUACCAAUAACCAAAAUGAAAGAAGGAAAACAGCAUUUUGUUCAUCUGCUUGCAAUAUCUCCUCCUAGUAUUUUUGUUUCCCAAUUAACUUCCCAGUGUCUUUACAUCUCUUAGAUCUUUUCACACCUCUUCAGUUUGUGAAGAAAUAAACUGCCUCCUGAGAUAAAACUUGAGUCAGAUAUUCCAUUUAAUUCUUAAAUGGACUCUGUUGUAGAUGCUUUUGCAUAAUGCCCUUGGGUCCUGUAGUAGCUGCUCUCUUUCUCUUGAGUUGUGUAACAGGAAAAUUUGUCCCACAUAGUGAAUGAUUCCAGGCAUAUGUACUUCUGCUAGGGUUGGAUUGGUGUUCUUCAAAACACUAUUUUUUUAAAAAUAACUUUGCUAUUCUUGAAAAGCAUAGAGCAGUUUUUCAGCGUGGUUCUGGUGUAUCUCAUACUCAGUCAAAGAGGAGUAACCCAGGUUACUCCUGGAUUCAGUGAGUAUCCUGGUACAGGAUACUCACUGGUUCAGUGUUCAUGUCAGUCACUGAGUGCUCUGAGAUGCAGCAGGGUUUCAGUUCCUGCUCAUGGUUCUCACCAAGAAGGAAACACACUAUUCCUCAAAGGAUGAAAUGCAAUUCCCUCUUCUGCCAGAAAGUGUCCUUUCUUGUUUUGAAGAUAAUUCAAAGCAAAGUACCACUCCUAAACAUGUUUUUGUCCCAAUAUAUACAUAUCCUAAUAGUUCAGAUCACUUCCCAGCCUGAUGUUUGGAAAAUCAGUGUUUUGCGGACAGAUUUCUAAGAUAGUCACCUUGGAGAUCACAGCCAGAUCUAAAGCUGAUAUUUUCUAGGAAGGCAGAAGGUUGCUCUCUCUUAAGUAGUUCUUCAGAAAGAAAUGAAAGUGUAAGUGUUUACAAACAGCAAAACCCAACUGCUCUGAGUUUUCUGUCAUGUUCUACAAUGACACUUUGUGCAAUAAACUGUCAUGGAAGUCAAUAGCAAAGUUUUUAGUGUUCUUGAUGGAGUCAGGAAGUUAAUAAAAUUAUUCAAAGCAGGGUUUGUAUACUUUCCAAAGGUAGCAGCAUAACCAGGAGAGAAAAUAGGAUCUUCAGUAGUUUCUUCCUCCUACCUGGAUUAUGUGUGUCUGUAAGAAUAUUUUAAAUUAAAAUAAGAAGCAUUGUGAAUCAAGUGUUUGGCUUUUGAAUAUCCUUUACUGUAGGAAUUCAGUUACUUACUCUAAUUGCCAGUGUGAUUUUACUUGGCAAAGGACUGCUUUUUACUUCCUUCUGGUCCUCCAUAGGUUAGGAAGCAUUUAUUUUUCUUUUUAAAGGAUACAUUUGAUAAGAAGGAAAUCAUUUUACAGAAAUGCUGUAUUGUAAUUCUGCUUUUAUAACCUAUUACCAUUUAAGUGUUUCAUUUUUUACAGUCAAGAUAUUUCUCAGGAGUACUUAACUUUUUAUUCCUCUUGCACUUAAAAAGCAUUAGCAUGGAUUCUGUCCUAUUGAAAUACUGAUGAAGGCUUUGGGGGGAGGAGGAUUGUAGGGUGUGGCAGUGGUGCAUUCUGCAUCUCAGCUUCAUGCUGCUGUUCAAGAGUGCCUUGCCAAAAAAGUGUGUGAUGUUUUUGUAGUACUGAGGUAUUGGUAGAGUUUUACACCAGUCAUCUCAAUUGAUUUUUGAGAGGGUUAGGGAAGGCUGGAGGGAUGUGAUGUUUGUAAUGCUAAGGCCAGUAAAGUGCCCCUAGAAAUACCAGACCAGAGAACUGCUGAUGCCUCACCUUGCCUGAGAGAAUUCCUGUUUUCACUGUACAUAAUGGUCUUAAUUUAUUUGGACAGAAGAUGUCUGAUGGUAGCCCAGGAUGCUUCUCAGGAUUUCAUCAGAUUAGGUCACACUUCUGGGAAGCUCAGAGAGCCUUCCCAGUUGUGCUGUCUUAUGUGAACUGUUCAAUUACGCAGGCGAGUGGAACAAAAACUUGGCAAGAGCAAAGCUGGAACAACACUGCUGACAAUAUUUAACUCCUCCAUAAAUCAUCAAUAAUAUAAAAAAAUAAUCUUACAAUUGUAUGAUUUUGUUGCUGUUGUUAGGAAAGCCCACUGAUUUUUUUUUUUUUUUCAAUUAGUUGCAAACCUUGAUUUUUCUCCUUGGGUUUUUUCUUAGUCUCCUGUUAGCUUAUAAGUGUCCAAUACCAGAACAGAGUCUUUUUCAGAGCUGAGAAUAUUCUCCAGAUCUUCACAGGUUUUAAGAAAGAUUUAGAGAACCUUUUUUACUCACUAACACUUAGAUGUCUUUUCUGGAGGUUUCUCAUCAAGACCUAAUAUAAUGAGAAAUAAUAUGUUCAAGACACUGGAAAAUAGCAACUAAGGAAAUACUACAGUCAGUCAAGCAAAGUAAAGUUGUCAUAAGACACUAGAAACCCCAUAACUUCUUUUGAGAUUUUUUUUCUUAGGAUUUUUAUAUAUCCAUCUCUACCAAAAGAGGUAAUUUACACACAGAAAACAAUUAUAAAUUAAGUUCUUAUCAACAGCAGCCUUAACCCAACAACUCUAUGUGUAGAUGGUUACAGGAAAUAGGAAUAAAACUGUACUGUCUAGCUAACUAGACAAAGCAUAUACUUAACAUAUAUACUCCCUUUCGCAUCUUGCAGUAAGUGAAAAAUGGGUAAUGCUGCAAAUCCAAGUGUAUUAUACACUAUUUGGAUCAGUAAUGCAAAAACUUAAUUGAAAAUUAGCUUCUGCUGUGAAGUGGAGCUUCUGAAGAGUUGUGAGAUGAGUGCAUGCCAGACACUGCAGGAGGUCUGAAAUGUGUGACUUGCUUCUUAUGGUGCUAUUAUAAAAUAAAAAGAACUCACCGUGUCAGGGGGCAGCCUGCCAGUGAAAAAGCAGACUGAAAAUUAUCUCAUUAACCAAAUUAAUCAGCACCUGUUCUGGCACUUUUGGAGCAAUUUUUAAAGCAAAGAAUUGACAUAACUGGUUGGUUAUCGUGGUUUCUUUGCCUUUGGGCUACCCAUCUUUCCAGUCAGGAAAAUCCUUAUGUUCAUGACA